rnacentral:rRNA from 1 species
UACGUAGGGUGCAAGCGUUAAUCGGAAUUACUGGGCGUAAAGCGUGCGCAGGCGGUUCGGAAAGGCAGAUGUGAAAUCCCAGGGCUUAACCUUGGAACUGCAUUUUUAACUGCCGGGCUAGAGUAUGUCAGAGGGGGGUAGAAUUCCACGUGUAGCAGUGAAAUUCGUAGAUAUUGGGAAGAACACCGGUGGCGAAGGCGGCGACCUGGUCCGACACUGACGCUGAGGCGCGAAAGCGUGGGGAGCAAACAGG